UACGUAGGGUGCAAGCGUUAUCCGGAAUUAUUGGGCGUAAAGAGCUCGUAGGCGGUUUGUCGCGUCUGCUGUGAAAACUGGGGGCUCAACUCCCAGCCUGCAGUGGGUACGGGCAGACUAGAGUGCGGUAGGGGAGAUUGGAAUUCCUGGUGUAGCGGUGGAAUGCGCAGAUAUCAGGAGGAACACCGGUGGCGAAGGCGGGUCUCUGGGCCGUAACUGACGCUGAGGAGCGAAAGCGUGGGGAGCGAACAGG
rnacentral:rRNA from 1 species